CAGUCGCCGCGGGAAUACGAGGGGAGCUAGCGUUGUUCGGAAUUACUGGGCGUAAAGCGCGCGUAGGCGGCUUUUUAAGUCAGAGGUGGAAGCCCGGGGCUCAACCCCGGAAUUGCCUUUGAAACUGGAAAGCUAGAAUCUUGGAGAGGUCAGUGGAAUUCCGAGUGUAGAGGUGAAAUUCGUAGAUAUUCGGAAGAACACCAGUGGCGAAGGCGACUGACUGGACAAGUAUUGACGCUGAGGUGCGAAAGCGUGGGGAGCAAACAGGAUUAGAUACCCCGGUAGUCCCUGUCUCUUAUAC
rnacentral:rRNA from 1 species